UAUCCCCAGCUCAGUACAAAGCUGGCUUCCAACCUCCAAUGUAGUUCUAGGGUAGAGACCCAGCAGGCUAGCAGCAUUCAUAAAUCUGGAUCCAUACAGCAAGACUCGUGCAUACUGUAAUGGUCUAAAGUGUCCUUGCAAGGCUACAGCAGAGUGGAACUGAAGAGCACCUGUGUCCCAGCACUUUUCAUUCUCCAUCAUCCCCUAGAAUUUGAAUAUAACUGGACUGAAGUUACAAGGAAGAAUUGGAUGGAGCCAGUAGGGUUAACACUGAUACUAACAGGAGAUUACUAGCCAUAAGAAAAUUACAGCUCUUCUGAAAGACAGUGCCUAAAAUAGCAGCAUAUCCUUGGCACCAUCAUAGGAACUGGUUAACUGAUGACCCUGAAGAAACACUUGUUUCCAUUAAUUCUGCUGUCAUUAUUUCACUAUUCUCGACUCUUCCUCUCAAUUCUUCUGUCCUUCUGAUCCCAAGACAAGAUGGCAGGAACGUGAGAGAGAACAUAAAUUACAGUAAGCUGUCGGCCAUAUAAUUGUAUUGUAACCUACUACACUGAGAAGUUACACCAACAGAAAUUUGGCAAGGUAUUGGCUGCUAGUUGCUAACUAAACACGGGACACUCACUAGUAUAACAUUUAAAAAAAAAAAAAAAGAAAAAAAGAAAAAAAAAUAGGCUCACUAAAAAGCAACAUCUACAUUACAAGGAAGCUAACAAAAGAAUUCCCUUAUGAUAUUUAGGUUCAGCUGGUUCAUCUUAGGUUCAUCAGCUCAAUUUUCUUGUUUUAUGUAUACGUAUUACAUUUGCAGUUGAAUAUAUUUUUAAGAUCACAAUGCUACAAACCUUUUUCCGGCAUGUAGUUUCGCCACCUUUAGUUAGACAACACGUGACACAAAGAAGUACUUGCUCGAAUUAGGGCUGAAUAUUCUGCUGAAAGCUGGUGAUGUUAUUAGAUCGUGUACUAUAAUUACUUGAGCACCACAGUUUUUAAAUCCCUAAGACAUGAUUUCCUAGGUAGAAGGCAGCAAGUAUGCUUUUAAGUUGCCAGACAGACCAAGGGAAUCAUUUUGCUCCGAAGCGUCUGCUGUAUACCCUGAAUCAGAACAAAUCCUUAUUUCACAAAGACUUCAGAUUUUUAAAGCAUCUCUGCUAAACAGAAGUAAACAGUUUCUGAUUAAACUUUAAAUGUUCCAGUGACUCUACCACAAAGGUAGUAACUUUUAUGUAUUAAGGAACAUAUUGGCAAGAGUUACCAGGAGGGUAAGGUAAAGAUGCCUUUAUCUUCAACAAUUGCUACAGUGCCACAGUCCCAAUUACAGACAUAUUGAGGUUAUCUGAACUGUACGGUUCCAUCUCAACUCAGAUAUUUUUUUUACAAAGUUUGAAUUGUCUCAACACCAGGAAGUCUUGCCCAAAAUAUUUUUCUGAAAUCCAAACUUUUUCAAAAUGCACCUACACAAAAGCAGUGUGUAUCGAUAUACAUUCCAAAUUCAUAUAUUCCAGCGCAUUAGAAGCUAACAGAAUUUAAAAGGCUUUCAGAUGAAUUUUUGCUGUUGUCAUACAUAUAGUCACAGGUGCCACAUAUGAAAACAUGGCCUCUGUGUUAUGAAAGAACACACUUUUGUAAGUUGAAAAAAAAAAAUGAAGUCCUUGGCAUUAUCUUUGAGAAGCCCUGGUUGAGAGGGACAAAAAAGGCUUGGGAACAAAGACUUCAGGCUUCCAGUUUUGCCACCGAUUUAUUGAUAACAUCUUGGGCAUCAGCUGCCUUCUGCAGUUUUCUAGUCUGAUAAAAAUGGGGCAGUCAUGCUUAUUUAUCUAACUUAAAGCGGUGCCGUGAUGGAUUGAUUAUUUGUACAGCACUCUGAGUGCUAUCCAAAUGCUGCUUACUCAUGUUUUCCCCACUAUAAGACUAUACCUUCAUCACUAAUAAUUAACUGCUAAUUACUGUUGCUGAGAAUACGAUGGUGGUAUUUACCACCUUAUUUUUGAUUUCAGUACAGAUGCCUAGUUAAAAGUUAUGUAAAUAUAUGAAAUCACAGUACAUUUUCCUAAUGACCCUGCUAUAUCUGAGUUUGAUCCUAUUCAACUGUGACUAAGGUAAUGAAUAGUAACUAAAGAUGAACUCUUUUCUGUAGAACUACAUAGACAGUUUCCAUUGUACUCUCAACACUUAAAUCAUGAAAUGUAGAGAAGCCAUUCUAAGCAGGAUACAGCUGGGUCAAAAGACUGCUGAUGCCAAUUAUGCUUUGUACAUAAUAAUGCACAUUUUACCUAUUUGGAAAAAAAAUUCACAUUUAUUUACUGUCAAACAGGUGUUAAACUUUACACUGGAUAUUAGUGAUGGGCUCAUUAUUAACAGGUUUACACAAAGGGAUGAAAAAAGCAGAAUUUUGUUGAAACAAUUUACAUUUCAUUAGAUUUUUAUCAUAAAAUAAAUUAAUUACUAAAUAUAGGCAGAAGGAAUAUGGAAGAGUAAUAGUUAUGUUUUAUUUAUCUUUUCAAAGGACAGGCACCCUUUAUUCACGAGAAAGCUUGUGAGAAGUGUCCAGUGUCCCCUUUACCCCCUACCACCCAACACUGAUUAAAGAAUGAACAGGGAAUUGAGUUACAAUCUUUGUUAGCUAUACCAAAUUUGUGCAAGGCUUGGCAUAAUUGGCUUCUAAAAAAAUUUUCUCCCCAAAUUAUGUUUUUGGCAAUAAAAAUUAAAAAAAAAAAGAAUAAAAACUAACUUGU